CAAGUCGAACGAGGGCCCGGGGCUUGCCCCGGUUACCCUAGUGGCGGACGGGUGAGUAACGCGUGGGAACCUACCCUGGAGCGGGGAAUAAUCACUGGAAACGGUGGCUAAUACCGCAUACGCCCUCAGGGGGAAAGGCUUCGGCCACUCUAGGAUGGUCCCGCGUCCGAUUAGCUUGUUGGUGGGGUAACGGCCUACCAAGGCGACGAUCGGUAGCUGGUCUGAGAGGAUGAUCAGCCACACUGGGACUGAGACACGGCCCAGACUCCUACGGGAGGCAGCAGUGGGGAAUAUUGGACAAUGGGGGAAACCCUGAUCCAGCAAUGCCGCGUGAGUGAAAAAGGCCUUAGGGUUGUAAAACUCUUUCACCCGUGAAGAUGAUGACGGUAGCGGGAGAAGAAGCCCCGGCUAACUCCGUGCCAGCAGCCGCGGUAAUACGGAGGGGGCUAGCGUUGUUCGGAAUUACUGGGCGUAAAGCGCGCGUAGGCGGCUUAUCAAGUUAGGCGUGAAAGGCCUGGGCUCAACCCGGGAACUGCGCUUAAUACUGGUAGACUUGAGUCCGGGAGAGGGUGGCGGAAUUCCCAGUGUAGAGGUGAAAUUCGUA
rnacentral:rRNA from 1 species